rnacentral:sRNA from 1 species
UCUGACCAGUGGUGCU